GUGAGGAAUUUUCCGCAAUGGGCGAAAGCCUGACGGAGCAAUGCCGCGUGAAGGAUGAAGGCCUAUGGGUUGUAAACUUCUUUUCUCAGAAAAGAAUUAUGACGGUAUCUGAGGAAUAAGCAUCGGCUAACUCUGUGCCAGCAGCCGCGGUAAGACAGAGGAUGCAAGCGUUAUCCGGAAUGCUUGGGCGUAAAGCGUCUGUAGGUUGUUUAAAAAGUAUUCUGUCAAAGAUUAGGGCUUAACCCUAGAUAGGCAGAAUAAACUUUUAAGCUAGAGUUUGGUAGAGGCAGAGGGAAUUCCCGGUGGAGCGGUGAAAUGCGUAGAUAUCGGGAGGAACAACAAAGGCGAAGGCACUCUGCUGGGCCAAUACUAACACUGAGAGACGAAAGCGAGGGGAGCAAAUGGGAUUAGAUACCCUUGUAGUC
rnacentral:rRNA from 1 species